UAUAAGUAGAUUAUACAUCAAAAUUAACCAUCGAUAUUCACACAAAAACGGAUAUAAAUUUCAAGUAACGCUGAUGUAAAUAUUCUGGUUUGAUGAUGUAUUUCUAUUUAUCGAUAUUUAAUGUGUUUAUGCGAAAAAGGUUUUCACAGAUUGUUGCUCACCCAGCUUUCCAGCAAUCAAAAAUGUUAAAGUGAAAAAGUGGAGCCUCCGUGGCCGAGUGCUUUUAAGGUUGCUUAUUUUGAAUCACUUACCGUUGCUGUGGGUUCGAAACCUCGAUUGGGGUGCAGAAUGUCUUUCAUAUGAGGAAGCCAUCCAGCAGGCAUACGGAAGGUCGGUGAUUCUAUCCAGGUGCAUAAAUUUCCGAAAUAAUGCACGAAUGGGGCACCAGGGUCUUAAUGCACUAUCAAAAGCUGGAAUGUCCCCCAUACGACUUAUUAAUGUGUCGGUGUGGCUGUGACAGCAACAAUUAAACACGGGAAGAAAAUGAAGAUUUAUGAAUGGAAUGAAAGAAGAUAAAUAGACAAACAGAUGUAAAAGUGAAUGAUAAAAUAUUAAAUUGAAAACGUAUGCAACAAACCCACAGAAAAGAAAAGAUUUACAGCAUUUCAGAAAAAAAAUAUAGUUUUAUUGAAGUUAUGGAUGAAAUGUUCAUUUAAUUAAAUGAUUCGUUAACAAAAUCGAACCAACACGAACAGUGCCUGUAUUUUACUUUAUAAGCUAUUGCAUUGUACGUUAUAUAAAGGAAAAAGAAUACUUACUGGCCCAGUAAUACUCAUAUUAAUUGUUGUUUUAUAAUUCACGUGUCACUGGAAUCAUGUUCUAAUCAUGUCACAUCAUGUUUUAAGGGAAAAUUUUUCAUGACGUUUAUCACAACACAUCAUCGGCAAAUAAAGAUGAAAUCGUAGAGGGCGGUCAUUUAAUGCACGGAACUCACUUCACCUGCACAAUUUACCGAGGAGGCCUUCCAUCAAUAUCACCACAUGGCACAGAACGAAUAAAAAUACCUAUCCGAGACAUCAUGAAGUUAUUCGCUUCCCCACGUUUAUUCGUUAGGGAACGUCCACGACCUGAUGGAAACCAAAUUCAUUUCAACCUUGUUUUAACAGAUGGCAUAAACCUCGUACAGAUUAGCAAGGCAAGAGAAGAAUGCGACAUCACAGAAAACGAAUAUGUUGUAUUAGAUAAAGACGGCGACAGAUUCCAGGUAAAACGUAACAUCGUAGAUGGCACCAGUAACUGGGUAAAUCUGAGAAUCGAUAAAGAGAUACCCCUCAUACCGCAUGAGUGGACCACAAUGCAAUGAUUUCAACAUCUUGAAACUAUGAAAAGAAUAAGUAUUGUGUUGCUUUUUAGUUGUGCGUAUUGUCAUAAUUAUAAUUAUUAUUUUAUAUGUACGCUUAAUUAGACAUUUUGACAUUUAAUCGUAAGCUGUGUAAGCAGCUGUUUCAGUCAUAAUUUAUUGUUUUGUCAAUGUUUAAUGAUGUCUAUAAAGGAGUGUGACCGUUUUAAUUACUUUGGCUCUAAACAGUGUUACCGUAAACUAACCAUGAGGGAUGACUCACUCACACCUUCAUCAUAUGGACAAAAUAUAUUUGUCUUCAAAUUAUGAAAUUACGUUGCAGUUAUAUUUAUGCUAGACAUGAUUGUUUAUAAUUUUCUUAAUUAAAACAAAUGAUAAUAUUGACAGAAGUGAAUACGACGUCACAGAAAACGAAUUUGUUAUAUUAGAUCAAAAUAAUGACAGAUUCCAGGUAAAACCAAACCAUGGAACUGGCAACAUUUACAACUGGGUAAAUCUGAGAAUCGAUAAAGAGAUACCCCACACCAUUCAGCAUGAGUGGACCAAGAUGCAAUGAGUUCAACAUCUUGAAACUAUAUGAUAAGAAUAAGUAUUGUGUUGUCGUUUUAGUUAUGCAUAUUGCCAUAAUUAUCAUAUAUAUACAAGUACGCGCUUUUAGAUAUUUUUUGACAAUUUUAAUUGUAAAGCUGUGUAAGCAGCUUUUUUGGUCAUAUUUUCUCGUUUGCAAUAUCCGGUUUUGUCAAUGUUUAAUGAUGUUUAUAAAGGAGUGUGGCCGUUUUAAUUACUUUGGCUCUAAACCUAGUCACCAUAAAUUAACCUCGAGUGAUGACUUACUCACGCCUUGAUCAUAUGGACAAAAUAUAUUUGUCUUCAAAUUAUGAAAUUACACUGCAGCUAUAUUUAUGCUAGACAUGAUUAUUUUUAUAAUUUUCUACAUUAAAACAAAUGAUAAUGACUCACCCACGCCUUGAUCAUAUGGAAAAAAUAUAUUUGUCUUUAAAUUAUGAAAUUACAAUGCAGCUAUAUUUAUGCUAGACAUGAUUAUUUUUAUAAUUUUCUACAUUAAAACAAAUGAUAAUGACUCACCCACGCCUUGAUCAUAUGGACAAAAUAUAUUUGUCUUUAAAUUAUGAAAUUACAAUGCAGCUAUAUUUAUGCUAAACAUGAUUAUUUUUAUAAUUUUCUACAUUAAAACAAAUGAUAAUGACUCACUCACGCCUUGAUCAUAUGGACAAAAUAUAUUUGUCUUCAAAUUAUGAAAUUACACUGCAGCUAUAUUUAUGCUAGACAUAUUAUUUUUUAUAAUUUUCUACAUUAAAAUUAAUGAAAAUGACUCACUCACGCCUUGAUCAUAUAGACAAAAUAAUUUGUCUUUAAAUUAUGAAAUUACGCUGCAGUUAUAUUCAUGCUAGACAUGAUUACUUUUUUAUAAUUUUCUACAUUAAAACAAAUGAAAAUGACUCACUCAUGCCUUGAUCAUAUGGACAAAUAUAUAUUUGUCUUCAAGCUAUGAAAUUACGUUACAGUUAUAUUUAUGCUAGACACUAUUGCUUAUAUUUUUUUUUAAUUAAAACAAAUGAUAAUAUUGACUUGUUGUACAUUUUACCAUUCUUCGGAGAAAGCCGUGGCAAACAGCUUUGGCGUUUCACAGGAAAAAUAUCAAGUUAAUUUUCGGAAUUGAGUAUGUUUAUCUACCACUUGUCCGUCAUUUUAUUCUUGGGUGUAGGACAUUUUGUGAGGACAAGACACUAGUUGUAAAGGUAGCAUUCAUAUGUUUCGUCAAGAAAUAUAAAGUUUAGUUUGUAUAUUACUGAUAUCGGUGUCGGCAUUGAAGCAACGCUAAAAGCGUUGCAUCGACGUAUGGACAUCUCGGCUGAACCAAUUUUAGAAUUAAUAGAUAUUGGUCCUAUUGGAAUUAUACCCGUAUAAACGCACAAGAUAUAACAUUUAAUUCCUAUAUUUACAAGUUGUAAUAACACACAGUUCCUGAUUUUAAUAUAAAAUACUCUUAAAGCCAAGGCAAAAUUGCCUAGUAGUUUUCAGUUUUAGAUAUAACCUUGGGAAAAGGAUUUUAGCUAUCAUUGAAUAUUCUUUUUUACAUUAUUACGACGUGAGUUUGUUUAUGAUUAAGAUCGCACGUUCAGUCUCGUGGAAAAGGUCGCCCUUAUUACAACAAUGUUGUUUAUACGAACCUUAAAUGUUAUUUUUCCUAUAUAAUGAACGUAAAUAUCAAGUUGUUCUUAAUUAAAUGAUAUGACAAUGAUGCCAUAUUUUUCAUUAUUCAAUUCUUUAAAAAAUUGUGAUACACAAAAGGGCAAAUGACCUUGAACUAUUUUAGUUUCUUUUAUCUUUAAAUCUCUUUAUAUUUGGAAACAGUUAGCUAAGAAAUAUUUUUACUUAAUCUGGAUUUUACGAAA